rnacentral:rRNA from 1 species
UACGGGGGGGGCAAGCGUUGUUCGGAAUUACUGGGCGUAAAGGGCUCGUAGGCGGCCAACUAAGUCAGACGUGAAAUCCCUCGGCUUAACCGGGGAACUGCAUCUGAUACUGGAUGGCUUGAGAGUGGGAGAGGGAUGCGGAAUUCCAGGUGUAGCGGUGAAAUGCGUAGAUAUCUGGAGGAACACCGGUGGCGAAGGCGGCAUCCUGGACCGGCAUUGACGCUGAUGAGCGAAAGCCAGGGGAGCAAACGGG